GACGGGUUGCAUUGCAUUAUUCCCUCCCUUUCCAGCCGCCGACCCACGCACGCGCGCUCCCCUGCGCCAUGGACGCCGUCGCGUUCCCGCUGCCCCCCGCGCCCUUCCUCGACGACGACUUCGAUUUCGGCGACUUCACCUUCGCCUCUGCGCCCGCGUCGCAGCCGCCCCUCGUCGAUCCCCGGCCGCCCGCCUUCGCGGCCUUUGACGACGACUUGGGCGAUUUCGUGGCGAGCCCGCUCGGAUCCAACGCGGACGCCUCUGCGCCGCCCACCCCUCCGACGGCCACGUCCGCCGCCGCUCCCUCGUCCUGGGAGAAGCCGCGGGGCCCGCUUCCUCUCUCCCUGUUCGGCGCCGACGACGACCAGGAGGAUGGGCGGGAGGAGGAAGGACCAGCCGAGCCGCAGCCGCCGGCGGCCACAGCGCACCAGCGCGCCGCGUCCUUCACCGCCGAAGGAUCGAGGCCAGCGGAUCUGAAGGACCUCAUCGCCGGUCUCUACGGAUCUCAGCCUCCCACCGCCUCCGUCGAUGCGGAUGCGGGCCCGCAAGAGGAUGGCGAAGGGUUCGGAGACGAUGAUUGGGAAUUCACGGCGGCGACGGCGGAACCUGCCGAUCAGGAUGGAGGCGGACGAGCGCCUGGGGAUGGGAUUCGAAAAAUUGAGAAUGCAAACUUGAAGGGCGGGCCUACUGGCUAUAUGAGCAACCUGGUUGUUGGGAUAACAGAUAAAGAUUAUUAUUCUUUACAUGUUGCAAAUUUUAAGCUAGAAGCCGGCCUACUUCAGAAAAUCUCUGAGCUAAUCUUGUUGGUAUUGCAACACCUCAAUCAUAUCCAAAAGAGGUGAAUGUUCGAGUGUGAAGCUCUGAGCGAAAGUCUGGAACACCAUUCAGACAAAUGGAUGUAACAAAACCAGUGAGUAAUGAUGAGGAAGACUGGUCAUCGAUUGCCAGUGUUGAUGAAAAAUUGAACCAUGUUCGUCAAACUACUGAUAAUAUUGGGACUAAUGAGUCCACAGGAGAAUGUGUAAAUGCUUCCAGUUGCUCUCCAGCUAAUAAUUCAGCCAUACUCAACCUGUACAAAGAAAGGGAAUGGGUUGACACUAUUCACAUUGCGCAGAGCUCUGCAGAAAGUUUGCAGAGUUCAUCGGAUUUGUUUUCUAAUAAUGAAAUGGUGACCAUUCAUUCUAUUUAAGUUUAAGUUAUUCACUGAUCCAGUUUUAUUUUAUUUUUCUUUUGAUGUGCACUAAUGAUCAGUGAUCAGAACUCUUCAUUUAAAAUAGAUGAAAGCCAUUCCAGUGGAUCAACAAGUGAUUGCAAUUUGAUUGAAUUUUACCAUAGGCUGAGAGAAGAGUCCUUGACAGUAAUGUCUCAGCAUGUGAAGGAUCUUAAGGAAGCACAGAAGGUUUCUACACCCUCUGAUGGAAACAGGAAAGCAACAGCAAUUGGAAAGGAGAUUCAGGAAAUAUAUGAUAAACUAAAAGAUUCUUCUCUGCCCAAUGGCUUCUGCGCAAAGGAACAUCCUUUGAGGGAUGUAUGUAUCACAGAACUGAUUAACUGUAUCAAAGAGGAACAACUGAAGGAUUUUCAACAAGAGUAUUGUUUAGCAGAAAAGAUAGCACUGGCAAUGGACGACACGAGUGUGGCAAUUGAACUUUACAAGCACAGUGUUUCCACCCUUCAUACAUUGGAACUAGCAUCAAAAGAGGAACAACGUGAUUAUGUUGGUGCAUGGUACCGUAUGCUUCUGCCCAGUGCCCAUGAAUUGCAGCAUGGUGCAGCACUUUGGCAAGAAUCCUGUCAUGCAAAUGUCUGUGACCAAGUGAUUUCUCAAGGUGGUGACUACUUUAUUGCUCUUGGGGAGAUAUAUAGAGUUGCUCGGAUUUUAUAUUUAUCCUUGCAGUGUUUCAAGCCCUGGGUUCUUGCAGAUCCUGGAAUGUUGAGUAAAAUAAUGGCUUGUUUGGACAGAUGCAGUGAUGCUUGGACUAGUUGUUUAGAAACGGCUCUUAAAAGGGUCAUUGACAGUAAUCGCUUAGAUGCAUCUGUGGCUAAAGCACUUGUGGACUCCAUCAACAAUAUUAAAGAACUUGAAUUGCCCAGUCUACAAAAUUUUCUUCCCUCCAACGAGAUGACAUGUAGACUAAGUCUCCUGCCACCCAGUGUUUUACCAGGAAUGAAGUUGAUCAUGUGGAAUGGAGAUCACUAUUUUAUUAAAGUUGCAAAUUUCUGGGCAAAUCGGAUAUCUUCUUAUCCUCCCCAGCUGUCACACACUCCUAUCUUUAAGGAACAACGUGGCAACACUUGACCAUCAUACUGAUUAACCUGUCAAACUAGUGACCUAAUCUGAUGGAAGCAUCAGAAGCUUUUGUAGUAAAAUUUGUUCAUUAAGUUGCCCUGGGCACAGAAGAAUGAGAAAGUGCCUUGCCAACCUCAAGGCUGUACUGGUUAUUUUCUUGUACAAAUUGUAUUUUCUUUACACUAUUCUUUCCAUAGCGCCUGAUAAUGGCACUAGUAUAACAAGUUCAAACGAUAUGUGGAGUUUCAGAUGUUGUGUAAACACAUUUAAAAUUGUAGAAUUUGGAAUGUAAAGAGAGGAAGUUGCGUGUUUAUUGUGAA